UGAUUAUGACGUACUUGUACUGAUUGAGAUUUUAACACGAAGUGAGUGGCGAACGGGUGAGUAACACGUGGGUAACCUGCCCAGAAGUAGGGGAUAACACCUGGAAACAGAUGCUAAUACCGUAUAACAGAGAAAACCGCAUGGUUUUCUUUUAAAAGAUGGCUCUGCUAUCACUUCUGGAUGGACCCGCGGCGUAUUAGCUAGUUGGUGAGGUAAAGGCUCACCAAGGCAGUGAUACGUAGCCGACCUGAGAGGGUAAUCGGCCACAUUGGGACUGAGACACGGCCCAGACUCCUACGGGAGGCAGCAGUAGGGAAUCUUCCACAAUGGACGCAAGUCUGAUGGAGCAACGCCGCGUGAGUGAAGAAGGGUUUCGGCUCGUAAAGCUCUGUUGUUAAAGAAGAACGUGGGUAAGAGUAACUGUUUACCCAGUGACGGUAUUUAACCAGAAAGCCACGGCUAACUACGUGCCAGCAGCCGCGGUAAUACGUAGGUGGCAAGCGUUAUCCGGAUUUAUUGGGCGUAAAGCGAGCGCAGGCGGUCUUUUAAGUCUAAUGUGAAAGCCUUCGGCUCAACCGAAGAAGUGCAUUGGAAACUGGGAGACUUGAGUGCAGAAGAGGACAGUGGAACUCCAUGUGUAGCGGUGAAAUGCGUAGAUAUAUGGAAGAACACCAGUGGCGAAGGCGGCUGUCUGGUCUGCAACUGACGCUGAGGCUCGAAAGCAUGGGUAGCGAACAGGAUUAGAUACCCUGGUAGUCCAUGCCGUAAACGAUGAUUACUAAGUGUUGGAGGGUUUCCGCCCUUCAGUGCUGCAGCUAACGCAUUAAGUAAUCCGCCUGGGGAGUACGACCGCAAGGUUGAAACUCAAAAGAAUUGACGGGGGCCCGCACAAGCGGUGGAGCAUGUGGUUUAAUUCGAAGCUACGCGAAGAACCUUACCAGGUCUUGACAUCUUCUGACAGUCUAAGAGAUUAGAGGUUCCCUUCGGGGACAGAAUGACAGGUGGUGCAUGGUUGUCGUCAGCUCGUGUCGUGAGAUGUUGGGUUAAGUCCCGCAACGAGCGCAACCCUUAUUACUAGUUGCCAGCAUUAAGUUGGGCACUCUAGUGAGACUGCCGGUGACAAACCGGAGGAAGGUGGGGACGACGUCAAAUCAUCAUGCCCCUUAUGACCUGGGCUACACACGUGCUACAAUGGAUGGUACAACGAGUCGCGAGACCGCGAGGUUAAGCUAAUCUCUUAAAACCAUUCUCAGUUCGGACUGUAGGCUGCAACUCGCCUACACGAAGUCGGAAUCGCUAGUAAUCGCGGAUCAGCAUGCCGCGGUGAAUACGUUCCCGGGCCUUGUACACACCGCCCGUCACACCAUGAGAGUUUGUAACACCCAAAGCCGGUGGG
rnacentral:rRNA from 1 species